GUGCUCGCUUCGUCAGCACAUAUACUAAAAUUAGAAUAUACAGAGAAGAUUAGCAUGCCCUGAAGCAAGGAUGGCAUGCAAAUUUGUGAAGCAUCUUAUAUUUUU